rnacentral:rRNA from 1 species
GACGAACGCUGGCGGCGUGCCUAACACAUGCAAGUCGAACGGAACUGUUUUGAAAGAUUUCUUCGGAAUGAAUUUGAUUUAGUUUAGUGGCGGACGGGUGAGUAACGCGUGAGUAACCUGCCUUCAAGAGGGGGAUAACAUUCUGAAAAGAAUGCUAAUACCGCAUGACAUAUCGGAACCACAUGGUUUUGAUAUCAAAGAUUUUAUCGCUUGAAGAUGGACUCGCGUCCGAUUAGUUAGUUGGUGAGGUAACGGCUCACCAAGACCGCGAUCGGUAGCCGGACUGAGAGGUUGAACGGCCACAUUGGGACUGAGACACGGCCCAGACUCCUACGGGAGGCAGCAGUGGGGGAUAUUGCGCAAUGGGGGCAACCCUGACGCAGCAACGCCGCGUGAAGGAUGAAGGUUUUCGGAUUGUAAACUUCUUUUAUUAAGGACGAAAAAUGAC